rnacentral:lncRNA from 1 species
CAAACUUAAUCAUGACAAUAUCAUUAGAUUGCGUUUGACCGUUAAAUGUUCUUUUCUUGAUAUCUAAAUUGAAAGUCUAUUUGAUUAUGAAUGGUUGUUCUCUCGGGCAACGUGAAAGAUCAAUAACAGCAAAUCUAUGAUUCGUAAAGGAUAAACAAGGAGCUUCUAAUAAUUCUCUAACUGAACGCAUUCCUUUUUAAACGGUAGUGUAUUAAGUUUUUUAAUUAUCAACUAAGGACAUUAACUUAAAUAAAUUGUAUUGUCUGUUUAUCUAUAAAUUAACGGUCUAAUAUGUAUGCAUGUAUUCAUAAGAGUCAUAUCUGAAUUUACGUAUCCGAUAAGUCACAGAAAGUCAAAUUUAAUUUCAGAAUGUAAAGUAAAAAUAGAAACAAAUAGUGCAAAUCAUUAUUUGGUGGUAAUUUUUUUUUUAUUAAAAAGUUAUGUUUUAAGGUAGCAAUUUAUAAUAUCACAAGUGUAAUGUCAAAACUACAGUAUUACUGUACUGUUGAAGCCUAGUCAAUUCACGUUAUUGAUAAUUGAUAAGUUGUGUAAACUGAGAGAUUACAGUUCGGACAUCGAUU